AUGCUGCUGCCCCUGGCAUGCCUGCACGGCCGCGUUGCACAGUGCCUUACCGCCCUUCUUGUGCUUGCAGAGCCGCCCCUGAAGCCCCAGCGCGGCGUGGCGCGGCGCAGCUCUGCACUGAGGCCACCCCAGCCGCCCUGCCCCCGCCGCCAACAGCAAUGCCGCAGCCGUGGGCAGGAAGGCCAGCCCACGCAGCCCUCCCCGCAUCCCGGCCCCCGCGCCGCCACCGCCCGUGCCCGCGCCUCCUGCGCCCUGCAACAACAAUGCAGAGAGCACCAACUGGAAGUCCUGCCACCUCACCCUUCGCGAGAGGAACAUGCUGAUGUUCAACAGCGAGCUCAUGGCUGACGUCCACUUCGUCGUAGGGCCCCUGGGCGUGACCAGGAGGGUACCUGCCCACAAGUACGUCUUGGCUGUUGGCAGCUCUGUCUUCUAUGCCAUGUUUUACGGCGACCUUGCAGAAGUCAAGUCAGAAAUCCACAUACCGGAUGUGGAGCCCACAGCUUUUUUGAUCUUGUUAAAGUACAUGUACAGUGACGAGAUUGAUCUUGAAGCUGACACUGUGCUGGCCACUCUCUAUGCUGCUAAGAAGUACAUUGUCCCCGCGUUGGCAAAAGCCUGCGUCAACUUUCUGGAGACAAGUCUGGAAGCCAAAAAUGCUUGCGUCCUGCCAUCUCAGAGUCGGCUAUUUGAGCAGCCUGAGCUGACCCAGUGUUGCUGGGAGGUCAUCGAUGCACAGGCAGAGAUGGCCCUGCGGUCUGAGGGCUUCUGUGAAAUCGACUGGCAAACACUGGAGAUCAUCCUGACCUGGGAGGCCCUCAACAACAAGGAGGCAGUCCUACAUUGGGCUGAGGCAGAAUGCAAGAGGCAGGGCCUGCCAGUCACCCCACGCAACAAAAGGCAUGUGUUGGGGCGAGCCCUCUAUCUGGUCUGAAUUCCAACCAUGACCCUGGAGGAGUUUGCCAAUGGUGCUGCCCAGUCAGACAUCCUGACACUGGAGGAGACCCAUCACAUCUUCCUGUGGUACACAGCUGCCAAUAAGCCCCGCCUGGACUUCCCUCUGACCAAGAGAAAGGGCCUCGCCCCACAGAGGUGCCACCGCUUCCAAUCUUCUGCCCACUGCAGCAACCAGUGGCGGUACCGUGGGUGCUGUGACAGCAUCCAGUUUGCCGUGGACAGAAGGGUAUUUAUUGCAGGGCUUGGCCUGUAUGAGUCCAGCUCUGGAAAGGCCGAGUACAGUGUAAAGAUUGAACUCAAGCGGCUGGGGCUGGUCCUGGCUCAGAAGUUGACUAAGUUUGUAUCAGACGGAUCCAGUAACACCUUCUCAGUCUGGUUUGAACACCCAGUCCAGGUUGAACAAGACAGCUUCUAUACGGCCAGCGCUGUCCUGGAUGGCAGCGAGCUCAGCUACUUUGGGCAGGAGGGGAUGACAAAAGUGCAGUGUGGGAAGGUGACCUUCCAGUUCCAGUGCUCCUCGGACAGCACCAAUGGGACGGGGGUCCAGGGCGGGCAGAUCCCUGAGCUCAUCUUCUAUGCCUGACACAUUGUGCAGUGGGAAGGCUAUGCCACUAGCCCUCUGCAGUAGCCAGACCUGAGUACAUGGAGCAAGGCGGAGGGUACUGCCUCACAACUGUGGAAGACCCUACUUACUUUGUAUCUCUGGGUAUAUAGUCAGCUAUAGCCCAAUGGUUAUGAAAUAGACCCCUUUUCUACCCAGCCAGAGCUCAGCAUCUGAAUCUCAGACAUCACCGGGACACUGGGGAUGCACAUCUGAGGCAGAGGGCAGAUUUAGGGUAUAAGGCAGGCCCCAAGUCCCCUCUCAGUGGCACCUACACUGCCUGCUUCCAGGGGCAGGAUGUUCCUCCCACCCUCUUGGGUUCUAAGGGUUGUUCCAAGCUUAAUAUGAGACUUUGCCUUCAAAUCUAAAAUUAGUGAAAAAUUGCUUGAA